rnacentral:rRNA from 1 species
UGAAGGUGAUGCCUGCCUCAGAUGACAUAAUUGUUUAACGCGCCGCGGUAUCCUAACCGUGCAAAGGUAGCGCAAUCAAUUGUCCCAUAAAUCGAGACUUGUAUGAAUGGCUAAACGAGGUCUUAACUGUCUUUUACAGAUAAUCAGUGAAAUUGAUCCCCCUGUGCAAAAGCAGGGAUACCCACAUAAGACGAGAAGACCCUGUGGAACUUAAAAAUCAACGGCCACUACACACACCCCUAAACCUACAGGCCCACGCUACCAAAACACUGGCCCACAUUUUUCGGUUGGGGCGACCUUGGAGAAAAACAAACCCUCCAAAUAUAAGACGACACCUCUUAACCAAGAACAACUUCUCAACGUGCUAACAGCAACCAGACCCAAUAACAAUUGAUCAAUGGACCAAGCUACCCCAGGGAUAACAGCGCAAUCCCCUUUAAGAGCCCACAUCGACAAGGGGGUUUACGACCUCGAUGUUGGAUCAGGACAUGGGUAAUGGUGCAGCCGCUAUUAAG